rnacentral:rRNA from 1 species
UACGGAGGAUGCAAGCGUUAUCCGGAAUGAUUGGGCGUAAAGCGUCCGCAGGUGGCUGUGUAAGUCUGCUGUUAAAGAGUCAUGCUCAACAUGAUAAGAGCAGUGGAAACUACACGGCUAGAGUGCGUUCGGGGCAGAGGGAAUUCCUGGUGUAGCGGUGAAAUGCGCAGAUAUCGGGAAGAACACCCGUGGCGAAGGCGGCUCUCUGGGACGGUACUGACGCUGAGACGCGAAAGCGUGGGGAGCGAACAGG